UUGCUUUCAAUGCCGGCGACCGGCGCACGGGUGCGUAACGCGUAUCAAACCUGCCUCAUACUCGGGGAUAGCCUUGCGAAAGUAAGAUUAAUACCCGAUGUUAUUAGUUCUCCGCAUGGUGGAUUAAUCAAAGAUUUAUCGGUAUGAGAUGGUGAUGCGUCCGAUUAGGUAGUAGGCGGGGUAACGGCCCACCUAGCCUUCGAUCGGUAGGGGUUCUGAGAGGAAGGUCCCCCACACUGGAACUGAGACACGGUCCAGACUCCUACGGGAGGCAGCAGUGAGGAAUAUUGGUCAAUGGACGAAAGUCUGAACCAGCCAAGUAGCGUGCAGGAUGACGGCCCUCCGGGUUGUAAACUGCUUUUAGUUGGGAAUAAAAAAAGGGACGUGUCCCUUAUUGUAUGUACCUUCAGAAAAAGGACCGGCUAAUUCCGUGCCAGCAGCCGCGGUAAUACGGAAGGUCCAGGCGUUAUCCGGAUUUAUUGGGUUUAAAGGGAGCGUAGGCGGAUUGUUAAGUCAGCGGUUAAAGGGUGUGGCUCAACCAUACAUUGCCGUUGAAACUGGCGAUCUUGAGUGCAGACAGGGAUGCCGGAAUUCGUGGUGUAGCGGUGAAAUGCUUAGAUAUCACGAAGAACUCCGAUCGCGAAGGCAGGUGUCCGGGCUGCAACUGACGCUGAGGCUCGAAAGUGUGGGUAUCAAACAGGAUUAGAUACCCUGGUAGUCCACACAGUAAACGAUGUAUACUCGCGGUUUGCGAUAGAUUGUAAGCCGCCAAGCGAAAGCAUUAAGUAUACC
rnacentral:rRNA from 1 species